AUGUAUAUCUAUGUGGUAGCAGUGAUCAUUACCUUGUCAGGGGUCAGUGGACAGGAUAAAGUCUCCCAGUCGCCACUCUCUGUGUCUGUUGGUGAGAAUGAACAAGUGCUUAUCAGCUGUUCCACAACAGAACAGGGUCAGGGCUUACAAUGGUACAGACAGUACCCGAACCAGGCUCUCAAACACUUGGUAACAGGACAGACAGGAGAGCAACAGAAGGAGAGGAUCACAGCUUCAAUGAACUAUAGAGAGAAGCGCAGUAACCUGAGCAUCACAGGCACAGAAGUGACAGACGCCGCCACCUACUUGUGUGCAGUGGAGACACAGUGA